rnacentral:lncRNA from 1 species
CAAUGACCGAACAACAUUUCAUAGGACAAGAACCUAAAUAAUGAAGAAUUAUAACUUUGUACAUGAAAACUUCACUGUAUACAAGAAUAAGCUAGACUAAGUACCGUGUUGUGAGUUUAACUUUUUAUAGUUGACAUUUUGUAGGUAUACACUUUAUAUGUGUUAAUUACUUAACAGCUUAACAUUUGCUGAUGACAUUUUACUAACAAACUUUAAAACUUUUCUGAGUUGAAAAUUUACAUUCACGUAACUAGGUUCGCGUUCUGUAGUAUCAUAUCUGAUUGGCAAUAAACUGGGAAGAUUUCAUGCUUUGAGUACGUCGGGAAAUUUUAUCCAACGGCAACCAUUUCACUUACAUAUAAAUCUAAAAAAAUAGUCAAACUCUGUAUAUAUAAAAGACUUUAUAUGUCUAUUAUAUAUCAAUUAAAGUAUUAGAGACAUUUAAAUCCAUAUAACCUUGCUAUACUGAAUGUCGUAAUUUUUUAAAGGAUCCUCAUUAAAAUUUUACCUUCAAUUUUAUGAUAUUUUUUUCUAUCAUAAAACAAAACCACCAACACCUGACUCUUGAGUAGAUCGCGAUGCCAUCAGAAAACUACAACCAUAAUUCAUCAUGAAACCGGGGGAGGGUAGAUAUAUGUUUGUAGCCCUUGAUUUUAGUAACGUUCAUUUAUACGCCAUUCAGUUAAACGGUCAUAGUUAUCAAUCAGCUACAUGUAUUACAUACUAUUGACAAACUUUAUUACAAUGUAUGACACUCCGUGUGAGUCUAGAUCUUUAUUAAUGCUUAGAAAAAUAAUAAUAAAAAUGAUAAAAUAAGAAUGAUGAAGCUUUUUUCAUAGUAAACAAUAUAAGAAUAUACUAACCGCAAAAAAAUAAUCUUAUCUGAAAAUAUCCUGAAGAUCAUAAAUAAAUAAAUAAUCUUUUGGGAUUACUAUAAUAACAAUACCACCGUAAUAAUAAAAUGAUUUGGCAAAACGUAUCACAGUUGGUAUCUAUCAGAAUGGUAAGUAUCUGAUAGAAAACAGUAUGUAUGAAACACUUCAGAUACGUUUAAUCUUCAUUUAUUCACUAAAGUACCAUUGCGAUGAAAGAAUGCUCUAACUGUAAAUUCCUCUGUAUUUAUAAACAGUACUUUUCUGGCCAGUUGUAAAAAAGGUAGGUAUACAUGCACUCAUAACAAUACUUUGGGAUUUGUGGGGUUGGGCUGCUGGUUUAUUCAAUCAAACCAUACAUCUCCUUUUACAGAUGUAUAAUUUAAGGCAUGUAAAGGCAAAGAGCUAGUCUUCCAUUUUCAGUCUGUUUAUCAAUAGUUCGAUAAAAACACAUUAAAAACUCUCCCCCUGUAUAGCCGGUAUUUGAUUUUUUGAUUUGUUGGUGCUUUUCAGCUUCGUUCCCAACUGAUAUGGCCUUACUAAAGAUUAGAGUCGAGCGCCUCUGAAGAAUCUUUGUUCAUCUAACUUCUUAAAUUAUAAGCCUAGCUAAAUAUACACUUGGUAUAGUGUAGAAGGUAAACUACAAGGUUUCAGUACCAUGUAGACGCGUACAAGCAGACUGGAAGUAAAAACACCCUUGUCUAGAGGGUACUGGCAAAAUUUUACUUUUCUAUAGACGCGUACAGACAAAAGGGAAGUACAUUCUUGGUUGUGUAGAGGGGACAUGACACGGAUUCAACAUCUUGUACAGACGCGUAUACACACAUUAUGGAAGUAAAUUCUUGAUAUUUGCAAAGAUAGUACACGGCAAUGUUUUAGUACCCUGUACAGCCGAUAUACAACCAUAAUGGAAGGACAUUUUUGGUAGUAUAGAGGUUACAGGUUUAGAUUUUAUACCUUGUAUAGACUAGCACAAACAGACUGGACGUAGACUGUUGGAAGGGUAGAGGAUUAAUGAUAAGGAUUUUGGUAUAUAUAUAGACGAUAACUAUCCGACUGGAAGUACGGUUUUGGUAAAUACCAUCGCAGUUUUAGGGCUGUACGGUAAACCGAAUGAACUAUUAUAUAACUAUAUGCUGUUACAUAUAGGAACACCUGUGAAUUAUUAUGAUAGCUUUUUGUGUUUCAAUAAAUCUUUUUAUCUUUUUACUUGACUUGUUGUUUGCGUUCUUGUUUGAGAGCUAUGCGUCUGCAUUUACUUUUGGGCUUAUCGGCUGCAAUUAUUUCUUUUGGUGAAAUGCCUACUAAAGCUGGUAUCUACAUGAAUACCUCCUAAAAUGUUACACAUGGCAUUAACACUGCUUUUCAUGCAGUGACACAGUAAAAACCUUUAGGUAAUAAUCUAUUUUGCAGAGUCUUUUAUCACCAUUGAACCGAAUGCAGUUUAUCUAAAAUGUCGCCAUUAGUAUAAAUAGUGUAUUCUUUUGUAUUUCUUUUCUUUCCUUAUUUAUAUAACUGAUUGUUUUUCAACAGGUGUCUGAUCAAAAUCGUCUUUGUAAAUAUUGCAUUAAAAAAAUGUAUUGAAUCAUCUUCUGACACUUAUUAGGAAUACACUAUAGUCUCAUAUUCAACACUUGCCUAAAGAAAUUAUCAAUUUGCAGACGCCAGAAU